GUUACGGGGAACUGUUACGUUAAAGAACUCAAUUACCCAGCAGUCUUUGUUGACGGACAUGCGCAGAGUAGAGGGCGGCUCGUAGUGUCGCGUGAGUUAAUGCUGUUAUCGCGAGAGGUCGCCAUUGGAGCCUCUGCGUUGAACAGCUGCAGGUCCAGUUGUAUGCAGUCCGUAUUUUAUAUUUUAAACUGCUUACUACACACCUAUGCUUACACCCAAACGGACUAAACCAAGUGGAGAUGCUUUGGACGGUGAGUGAUGACUUUUUCCUUGUGCGUUCUCCAGUCUUACCCACUUAAAUAGCGGGGAUACUGCGGGGAACGUGGUAACAAUGGCUCGUUUCUAACAGCUGUUUGAGGGAGAACGGUAUUAGUAUUUGCUAUGGACUUAAUUGCCAACAUUAAGAGCCUGUCAUAUGAGGCCAGACGUGAGUCGUGUUCUACAUUCAAGAGGGUUUUUAUUUAGCACAGCCCAAAGCAACCUAAAUUCGAUGACCUCAUAACGACCAGCAUACGUCUUUUAGCUAAGCUAACUACGGUAGCUUCACAGGGAUAAAAGACCCCUCUUCACGCUAUCAGCGCCACUUUGUUUACGUUUCCGUGUGCCCUAAAUAACUUUCUAUAAUCUGCCCGCAGCCUGCAGCCGGGCGCAGCUAAAUGACACGUAAUGUAUUAUGGCCCGUGCAAAGUCAUGCCACCAGUCUGAGGACAUCACUGGGAAUGGCACAUGGGACACGUGGCUUUCAACUCCAGCGAGGUGGGCUUCACCGCGGGCAAUCGUGGCAAAGACCCAAGUCGACUGGACCACAGCGGAAAAUGAUCCUUCCAGAGAAGAAGUUAUUUACUUCUACAACGAAUGGAAGAGUUACAACUUCCAGAUGACAGCUCUCCGCUCAUCCUUCUGGGCAACUUGAACAUCCGGCAGAACUUAUGUGACCUACUGCGUUUAUUUUCUCCUUUAGCUCUCAUUUAAGUAUUAAAAUUCGCUGUAUUUUUGCAAGAGAGGCACCAAUCCUAUUUGAGUGACGUUUCGAAUGUGAAAUUGUAUUGGACCAUAUAGGUCAUCUGCAGAGCGUUGGCCCCUGGCGCAGUAAACCAGGGUUUGAUUCUUGGCAUGCACAAGACUCCUCAUGUGACUUAAAAUGAAUCCAGAAUGCAAUAUUUGUUCAGUAUGCAAGGGCAGUGAUUUAUUUAGUCAUGUUUGGUCAUGUUUUGGUUUUUUUACAUGACAAUAUGGUUUGGUACAUGCUGAGUUAAUGAAUAUACAUUCUAAAGUGCAAUGUCCAUAUGUGAAUAAGAGUUGUAUACGUUUAUCAUAGUCAACAUGGUGUGGAAAUAUCCCUUAUAUAGUUGGUCAAUGGGAACUAUAGUAGGCAGUAAUAACAGCUAAG